AACGUAGGUACCGAGCGUUAUCCGGAUUUACUGGGCGUAAAGCGCGUUCAGGCGGUUUGGCAAGUCGGGCAUGAAAUCUCUCGGCUCAACCGGGAGAGGUUGUCCGAUACUGCUGGACUUGAGGGCAGUAGAGGGUGGUGGAAUUCCGGGUGUAGUUGUGAAAUGCGUAGAUAUCCGGAGGAACACCAGUGGCGAAAGCGGCCACCUGGACUGCACCUGACGCUGACACGCGAAAGCUAGGGGAGCGAACGGG
rnacentral:rRNA from 1 species